rnacentral:rRNA from 1 species
GGUUAAGCGACUAAGCGUACACGGUGGAUGCCCUGGCAGUCAGAGGCGAUGAAGGACGUGCUAAUCUGCGAAAAGCGUCGGUAAGGUGAUAUGAACCGUUAUAACCGGCGAUGUCCGAAUGGGGAAACCCAGUGCAAUUCGUUGCACUAUCGUUAACUGAAUACAUAGGUUAACGAGGCGAACCGGGGGAACUGAAACAUCUAAGUACCCCGAGGAAAAGAAAUCAACCGAGAUUCCCCCAGUAGCGGCGAGCGAACGGGGAGCAGCCCAGAGUCUGAAUCAGCUUGUGUGUUAGUGGAACGGUCUGGAAAGUCCGACGGUACAGGGUGAUAGUCCCGUACACCAAAAUGCACAGGUUGUGAACUCGAAGAGUAGGGCGGGACACGUGGUAUCCUGUCUGAAUAUGGGGGGACCAUCCUCCAAGGCUAAAUACUCCUGACUGACCGAUAGUGAACCAGUACCGUGAGGGAAAGGCGAAAAGAACCCCGGCGAGGGGAGUGAAAAAGAACCUGAAACCGUGUACGUACAAGCAGUGGGAGCACCUUUAUGGUGUGACUGCGUACCUUUUGUAUAAUGGGUCAGCGACUUAUAUUCUGUAGCAAGGUUAACCGUAUAGGGGAGCCGCAGGGAAACCGAGUCUUAACUGGGCGUUAAGUUGCAGGGUAUAGACCCGAAACCCGGUGAUCUAGCCAUGGGCAGGUUGAAGGUUGGGUAACACUAACUGGAGGACCGAACCGACUAAUGUUGAAAAAUUAGCGGAUGACUUGUGGCUGGGGGUGAAAGGCCAAUCAAACCGGGAGAUAGCUGGUUCUCCCCGAAAGCUAUUUAGGUAGCGCCUCGUGAACUCAUCUUCGGGGGUAGAGCACUGUUUCGGCUAGGGGGUCAUCCCGACUUACCAACCCGAUGCAAACUACGAAUACCGAAGAAUGUUAUCACGGGAGACACACGGCGGGUGCUAACGUCCGUCGUGAAGAGGGAAACAACCCAGACCGCCAGCUAAGGUCCCAAAGUCAUGGUUAAGUGGGAAACGAUGUGGGAAGGCACAGACAGCCAGGAUGUUGGCUUAGAAGCAGCCAUCAUUUAAAGAAAGCGUAAUAGCUCACUGGUCGAGUCGGCCUGCGCGGAAGAUGUAACGGGGCUAAACCAUGCACCGAAGCUGCGGCAGCGACACGAUGUGUUGUUGGGUAGGGGAGCGUUCUGUAAGCCUGCGAAGGUGACCUGUGAGGGUUGCUGGAGGUAUCAGAAGUGCGAAUGCUGACAUAAGUAACGAUAAAGCGGGUGAAAAGCCCGCUCGCCGGAAGACCAAGGGUUCCUGUCCAACGUUAAUCGGGGCAGGGUGAGUCGACCCCUAAGGCGAGGCCGAAAGGCGUAGUCGAUGGGAAACAGGUUAAUAUUCCUGUACUUGGUGUUACUGCGAAGGGGGGACGGAGAAGGCUAUGUUAGCCGGGCGACGGUUGUCCCGGUUUAAGCAUGUAGGCUGGUUAUCCAGGCAAAUCCGGAUAAUCAAGGCUGAGGUGUGAUGACGAGGCACUACGGUGCUGAAGUAACAAAUGCCCUGCUUCCAGGAAAAGCCUCUAAGCAUCAGGUAACAUCAAAUCGUACCCCAAACCGACACAGGUGGUCAGGUAGAGAAUACCAAGGCGCUUGAGAGAACUCGGGUGAAGGAACUAGGCAAAAUGGUGCCGUAACUUCGGGAGAAGGCACGCUGGUGUGUAGGUGAAGUCCCUGCGGAUGGAGCUGAGACCAGUCGAAGAUACCAGCUGGCUGCAACUGUUUAUUAAAAACACAGCACUGUGCAAACACGAAAGUGGACGUAUACGGUGUGACGCCUGCCCGGUGCCGGAAGGUUAAUUGAUGGGGUUAUCCGUAAGGAGAAGCUCUUGAUCGAAGCCCCGGUAAACGGCGGCCGUAACUAUAACGGUCCUAAGGUAGCGAAAUUCCUUGUCGGGUAAGUUCCGACCUGCACGAAUGGCGUAAUGAUGGCCAGGCUGUCUCCACCCGAGACUCAGUGAAAUUGAACUCGCUGUGAAGAUGCAGUGUACCCGCGGCAAGACGGAAAGACCCCGUGAACCUUUACUAUAGCUUGACACUGAACAUUGAGCCUUGAUGUGUAGGAUAGGUGGGAGGCUUUGAAGCGUGGACGCCAGUCUGCGUGGAGCCAACCUUGAAAUACCACCCUUUAAUGUUUGAUGUUCUAACGUUGGCCCCUUACCGGGGUUGCGGACAGUGUCUGGUGGGUAGUUUGACUGGGGCGGUCUCCUCCCAAAGCGUAACGGAGGAGCACGAAGGUUAGCUAAUCCUGGUCGGACAUCAGGAGGUUAGUGCAAUGGCAUAAGCUAGCUUGACUGCGAGCGUGACGGCGCGAGCAGGUGCGAAAGCAGGUCAUAGUGAUCCGGUGGUUCUGAAUGGAAGGGCCAUCGCUCAACGGAUAAAAGGUACUCCGGGGAUAACAGGCUGAUACCGCCCAAGAGUUCAUAUCGACGGCGGUGUUUGGCACCUCGAUGUCGGCUCAUCACAUCCUGGGGCUGAAGUAGGUCCCAAGGGUAUGGCUGUUCGCCAUUUAAAGUGGUACGCGAGCUGGGUUUAGAACGUCGUGAGACAGUUCGGUCCCUAUCUGCCGUGGGCGCUGGAGAAUUGAGGGGGGCUGCUCCUAGUACGAGAGGACCGGAGUGGACGCAUCACUGGUGUUCGGGUUGUCAUGCCAAUGGCACUGCCCGGUAGCUAAAUGCGGAAGAGAUAAGUGCUGAAAGCAUCUAAGCACGAAACUUGCCCCGAGAUGAGUUCUCCCUGAGACUUUAAGUCUCCUGAAGGAACGUUGAAGACGACGACGUUGAUAGGCCGGGUGUGUAAGCGCAGCGAUGCGUUGAGCUAACCGGUACUAAUGAACCGUGAGGCUUAACCUU